GAUCAUGGCUCAGGACGAACGCUGGCGGCGUGCUUAACACAUGCAAGUCGAACGGAAAGGCCUAAGCUUGCCUGGGUACUCGAGUGGCGAACGGGUGAGUAACACGUGAGUGAUCUGCCCUCAACUUCGGGAUAAGCCUGGGAAACUGGGUCUAAUACUGGAUAGGACCAUCCUUUAGUGUGUGAUGGUGUAAGUUUUCGGUGGGAUGAGCUCGCGGCCUAUCAGUCGUUGGUUGGUGGGGUAACUGGUACCG
rnacentral:rRNA from 1 species